rnacentral:misc_RNA from 1 species
AGCCCUAAAUAUCUCAAGUUACAGGUUUGGGAUUUUGUUUGUUUCGUUGUUUAUAUAUACAUUUAUAUUCAUUUUGGAGUUUAUUCGCUCUGAAUUGGAAUUUAAUUCUUCUCAAUUUUUCUUUUUCUCAAUGUUUCUUCUCAAUUCAAGCCUUUCGGAGCAGUUUCUGUAAUUCAAGAUGGAGAUUGCACUUUCUAUAGUAAUUAAUCAUUGAUAAUCCUUGGAAAAAAAAGUCAUCGAUAAUCCUCUAUCAAUUUAAGAUGGAGAUGUAGUUUAGCAAUAGCAUAUUGCACGUUUAAAAUGUCUAAUAUUUCUU